rnacentral:rRNA from 1 species
UACGUAGGGCGCAAGCGUUAUCCGGAAUUAUUGGGCGUAAAGAGCUCGUAGGCGGUUUGUCGCGUCUGCCGUGAAAGUCCGGGGCUCAACUCCGGAUCUGCGGUGGGUACGGGCAGACUGGAGUACUGCAGGGGAGACUGGAAUUCCUGGUGUAGCGGUGGAAUGCGCAGAUAUCAGGAGGAACACCGGUGGCGAAGGCGGGUCUCUGGGCCGAUGACUGACGCUGAGGAGCGAAAGCGUGGGGAGCGAACAGG